rnacentral:rRNA from 1 species
GUGGGGGAUAUUGCACAAUGGGGGGAACCCUGAUGCAGCGACGCCGCGUGGGCGAAGGAGUGCCUCGGCAUGUAAAGCCCUAUCGGCAGGGAAGAAGAAUGACGGUACCUGACUAAGAAGCACCGGCUAAAUACGUGCCAGCAGCCGCGGUAAUACGUAUGGUGCAAGCGUUAUCCGGAUUUACUGGGUGUAAAGGGGGCGCAGGCGGCGCGCCAAGCCCGAUGUGAAAGCCCGCGGCCCAACCGCGGGACUGCAUUGGGAACUGGCGCGCUGGAGUGCCGGAGGGGCAGGCGGAAUUCCUGGUGUAGCGGUGAAAUGCGUAGAUAUCAGGAGGAACACCAGUGGCGAAGGCGGCCUGCUGGACGGCAACUGACGCUGAGGCCCGAAAGCGUGGGGAGCAAACAGGA